GGGGAUGUAGCUCAAAGGCAGAGCACCUGCUUGAUAAGCGGGAGAUAGCGGUUCGAGUCCACUCGUCCCCA
rnacentral:tRNA from 1 species